AGAGCGAACGCUGGCGGCAUGCUUAACACAUGCAAGUCGCACGGGCAGGGGCAACCCUGUCAGUGGCGGACGGGUGAGUAACGCGUAGGUAUCUAUCCUUGGGUGGGGGACAACUGUGGGAAACUGCAGCUAAUACCGCAUGAUAACUGAGGUUUAAAGGCGCAAGUCGCCUGGGGAGGAGCCUGCGUACGAUUAGCUUGUUGGUGGGGUAAAGGCCUACCAAGGCGACGAUCGUUAGCUGGUCUGAGAGGAUGAUCAGCCACAUUGGGACUGAGACACGGCCCAAACUCCUACGGGAGGCAGCAGUGGGGAAUAUUGGACAAUGGGCGCAAGCCUGAUCCAGCAAUGCCGCGUGUGUGAAGAAGGUCUUCGGAUUGUAAAGCACUUUCGACGGGGACGAUGAUGACGGUACCCGUAGAAGAGCCCCGGCUAACUUCGUGCCAGCAGCCGC
rnacentral:rRNA from 1 species